GAAGACAACAAGGUUUAGAAGACUGUAGGAGACUUACUCAAAGUCACUGUGACUCUUAUUUUUAUUAUUUAUUAUUAUAAGCUAAAGAGAAGUUAAUGUGAGAGAAAGAAGGAGAAGAGUGAGAGCCCUGCUGGCACAUGCAGCCCUGGGGCUGGAACCCAGAGCCUAAGUUGCUCACAUACAUGUGGACAUGCAGUUGCUGUGAAAUAGCAAGAGAAAUUAGAUUUUGUUUCAAAAUUUUUCAAAAACUAGAAGUCAAAUGUACCUAGUGGAACAUUAUCUCAAGCAAAUCUGGAGAAAACAGCAAAACUACAAAAGUAUAUUACUAAGUACAGAUGUGCUACCUAGAAUGUGGAAGCCUUAAAGAUGGCAGAAUGGAGAGAUGACAAGAGUCUCCACCCUUAUUGAUGCAAUCCCUCCUUAUUUCACUACUCUUUAUCAGCAAAAGACCUUUUUUUUUUUUUAACUGACAAUAAGUUUGUUUCUCAACUAGUUUGUAUGGACAAUAUAGUUCAUCAAAAGUCAAAUGCAAUGGGAAGUUGACACAUAGUUGAGAAACAUUUCAGAGUAUCAUUUUCUGAAUUUAUAAACUGCAUGGAUUUCAUUUAAAUAAGAACAGACCGUUGACUUCUUGACCAAGGAAUUGAUAAAAUGCCUUCCCAUAUUGCUACAAGUUGGUGCUAAGUUAUAAUAGGCAGAAUGGCUAAACCUGACAGGGAUGAAUAUCUCAAAAUCUUUUUUGACAUAUUGAGAGCAAACUCAGCACCUCAGUGAAUUUGACAACCCCCACCCCCAAAUAAAACAGAAUUAGUUCUAGGAUAUGUUUAAGGGCACCAGGCAAAGCAAAGACCUCAAAUCUUGGCCCUCUAGAAUUGAAGGUGAAUGUGAGUGAAGGAGAAGAAAGUUCCUAUCUAUUCUUGUGCUAAUUUUAGAGCUGCAGAGCCCUGGACACAGUGUAAAGCUAAAUUCCCCAAACACUGCGGGUAAGGAGGCCACCACAGCUGCUACGGAUCCAGCCAAACAUAUGGCAGGUGAAAGCAGACAAGAUCUCCUCCCAAACAUUUGUUUAUUAUUCUUCACAACCUUUGUUCUUAGAGAAGAAAAAUGAGAUUAGCUGGAGUUUUGGAUCCAUGUGCUGAUGUGCUUGCUUGUUUAUUUUAAAGACUCUAUUAGAGUUCUAAUGCUAAAAUGAAAGCACCCUCAUUGAAAAAACAAUUUCAACAACCCAAAGGUGGAUAAAGGGACAAGUGAAAAGCCAUGGUUCUCUCCUCCCUCCUCUUGGUUUUCUCUCUGCUUUGUGGCUUUCCUGCUCCACUUGUGCUGGGAUUGUGCCAGUGUUAAUCCCACUACCUGUCAUUUGGGGAUGUAGUCUUAAGCUUCUUUUCUGGUAUUUGGUGGGCUUGUAUUUUUGCUAGAAGACUUCAAAGAAGGAAGGUUCUGACCAGUGUCAGUACCCAGGCCAACUUUCAGUGGCUUCAUUUUAAAUUACUCGGGGGCCAUUUUGAUUCUGUUUCUUGGGACUCCCUAUGAAGCAGCUGAUCAUCAUCUCCCUUUUUGAAUUCUGAAAAGUUCACUCAGUUUCUGUAAUUUUGUUGUGAACUUCUCCUAUGAAAUCCUGGGCAAACACUACUAGUCCUCAAUAGCCUUUUUAGCCCUUCGGAGCAGUGAGCACACAGCUGGAAUGGCAUGAGGUGAUGCUGCAUGGAGAUAUGAGCUAUCAGACAAUUCUUGGAACUAGAAAGAGCAUGAUAUGUACUUGGUACAGCACAGACACUCUCAGGUCCAAAACCUAGUAUAACGUUUAUCUCUCCUCCACUUUCUGUGGCCAAAGAAGGCUAUGCUGUAUGCAGUCUUUGUUUUUAUUUUUAUUUUGGAUACAGAUAAAUUGAGAAGGAAUGGGAGAUAGAAAGGGAGAGAGAAAGAGAAAAAUCUGCAGCACAGUUUCACUGCUAGUGAAGCUUUCCCCCAGCAGGUGGGAACUAGGGGCUUGAACUAUGGUCGCAAGUGGGCUCUGCUAGAGAGCAACUAUGCAGAAUCCCUAUGCAGAAUCCCAACCCCUAUGCAGAAUCAAUAUGAACUGGUCAAACACUCUGGAGGUAGCAUUCUUUUUUGAGGCUAAUGAUUCCAUAGGGUGAAUUUUUUGUUGUUGUUUCUUUAAUGACAAUGUAGAACACUUUUUAAUCUGAGUUCAUAAAAAUCUACAGCUCGGAUAAGGGCAAGAGACUGGCAUACUUAAACGAUGACCUCUUUGGUCAUGAGCAGGCCACCGCAUCAUCUGGGGUCCUAGUCAGAGAAUCCUUGGAUUCCCACAAAGAUAUGAUUGGCCUAGACUUCUAAUAAACCUCUCUUUACCAUCACUGUCACUUCUAUCAGGAACAACAACAUAAGCCCUUCUGUGGACCUCGACAGGACCUUGCACUCAUUGUAGACCAGCAGUGGUAGGGACUGCCCUACCCUCUGAAGGGAGGCUGGGUCAAACUAAUAUGCCACUCAAAGAAGACUGGAGUGACUGCCACCUGGAAUGUUCCUAGCUGUGACCAUGGACUGUGAGCUCAGACUGAUAGGAAUGCAAAGAUUACACAGAUUCUUGUGCUAAAUAUGAAUAGAUAUGGGCCCUAGGUCAGAUCAAUAAGAUAAACAGCUAAUGAAUGGUACUUAUAUACUUUCUACAUUAUUUGGGAGCUACUAUCUUCCCUAAUCCAGUUUUCUAGGCCUGUUCUCAACUCUGACAACAUCUUCCCAGACUAUACUUUUAGCCCACCUUCAUGUUAGCUAUUGGGCUCAGGUAAAAAAUUACUAGUCAUGGACACCUUGAAAAUUACCUAAAAUAGAAUUCCUAGCUUUUUCCCACAUGAAGACCCCUAGCUUCAUCUGCUUUAUUUUUAUCUUUAGGUUCCUGUUUAUUAAACAAUUUGCUCUGCUUUAUAUAUUACUGUCUUUCAGCCACCAGGGUUACCAGGAUGCCAUCCUGACUUCCCUGGGCAGAUGACCUUACCAAUUUGUCCCAGAACCUCACCUCUCCAGAGCCCUACCCCACUAGGAAAAGAUAGACACAGGCUGGGAUUAUGAGUUGACCUGCCAAUGUCCAUGUUCAAGAAGCAAUUACAGAAGUUAGACCUCCCCUCUUCUACACCCCAAAAAGAAUUUUGGUCCAGACUCCCAAAGGGAUA